GACGAACGCUGGCGGCGUGCCUAACACAUGCAAGUCGAGCGGAGUAAAUACUACGGUUAUUACUCAGCGGCGGACGGGUGAGUAACACGUGGACAAUCUACCCUAUAGACCGGGAUAACACACCGAAAGGGGUGCUAAUACCGGAUAAUGUCGUGAAGUGGCAUCACUUAACGAAGAAAGGAGAAAUCCGCUAAAGGAAGAGUCCGCGGCCCAUUAGCUAGUUGGUGAGGUAAAGGCCCACCAAGGCAACGAUGGGUAGCCGGCCUGAGAGGGUGAACGGCCACACUGGAACUGAGAGACGGUCCAGACUCUUACGGGAGGCAGCAGUGGGGAAUAUUGUGCAAUGGGGGAAACCCUGACACAGCGACGCCGCGUGAGUGAAGAAGGCCUUCGGGUCGUAAAGCUCAAUAGUAUGGGAAGAAAGAAAUGACGGUACCAUACGAAAAGCCCCGGCUAACUACGUGCCAGCAGCCGCGGUAAUACGUAGGGGGCGAGCGUUGUCCGGAAUUACUGGGCGUAAAGAGCACGUAGGCGGCUAUAAAAGUCAGAUGUGAAAAACCUGGGCUCAACCGAGGGUAUGCAUCUGAAACUAUAUAGCUUGAGUCAAGGAGAGGAGAGCGGAAUUCCUGGUGUAGCGGUGAAAUGCGUAGAGAUCAGGAAGAAUACCAGUGGCGAAAGCGGCUCUCUGGACUUGAACUGACGCUGAGGUGCGAAAGCGUGGGGAGCAAACAGGAUUAGAUA
rnacentral:rRNA from 1 species